rnacentral:lncRNA from 1 species
AGAGGUUGGACUAGAGACCUCCUGAAGUCCUUUCCAACCUGUAUGAUUCUGUGUUUCAAUGAUAAUUACUGUCUGAAAUACUGUUCUCAUUGUCAGCUUCCCCUGAGGAGUUCAAGCUGACCUCUGCGGAGGGAGUUCUGGCCUCCUCAAGAUUGCUGAACUGAAAGAGCCUUGCAAGGUUUUGAGAAAUGCCUUUCCAAGCGUGCACUUAAGCAUCAGUAUUGUUCAUCUUUAUGAGUAAGACUGGCCUGAAGCUUCCUUUGAAGUUUGCCCAAGAGUAAACUGGGACCUGAGGAAUUUGUAUUAAGCGAAGAGCCCCACCGGGAGUGCUGCGAGUUUCCCCCGUGCCGUCACCCUGCCGUGUGGUUACGCUGGGAAGGCCAUCUCAUGGUGACAGCUCGGUCAUCGGGGACUCGGAGACCACUUGGCUGCUGCAGGAAACUUUAUAAUAGACACAAAUUUCACCGAUAUGCGU